GGCAUUUUUUGCAAGACGGCACAAAUCAAUUUUAAUAAAAACAAUGUAUAAACAUACUUACAUUGUCAGAAUCGUCCAUUGGUUUCAUACAUGUAAUAUUACCUUUGACUUCAGAAGUGUUACUUGAUAUUCUAUUCAAAUACAAAUUAUAUUCAAAAAGAUGUUGUUUUUGCUUACAUUGUAUAAUAGCUUUGGGAUACACCUUGUAUUCUCC